rnacentral:rRNA from 1 species
GUGUCAGCCGCCGCGGUAAUACGAAAGGGGCUAGCGUUGUUCGGAAUUACUGGGCGUAAAGCGCACGUAGGCGGCCUUGUAAGUUGGGGGUGAAAUCCCGGGGCUCAACCCCGGAACUGCCUCCAAAACUACAAAGCUAGAGGCUGUGAGAGGAGAGUGGAAUUCCGAGUGUAGAGGUGAAAUUCGUAGAUAUUCGGAAGAACACCAGUGGCGAAGGCGACUCUCUGGCGCAGUUCUGACGCUGAGGCGCGAAAGCGUGGGGAGCAAACAGGAUUAGAUACCCUGGUAGUCCACGCCGUAAACGAUGAGGGCUAGUUGUCGGGCGGCUUGCCGUUCGGUGACGCAGCUAACGCAUUAAGCCCUCCGCCUGGGGAGUACGGUCGCAAGAUUAAAACUCAAAUGAAUUGACGGGG